CAUGGUUUAACUGGCUUUUGCCUGAGUUGGUUGGCAGGGUAGAGAACUUAGCACCAGAGCCUCUUAAGGAGUUUAUAACAUUCCGUCUGAAAAUACCUCUUAAAUACCCGAUUUUGAAUGUUUUGUAAAUUCCUUUUCUUUCUCGUCCCCCUCCUCCAGGCUUCUCAAUUAAUGAUGGAAUAAAUUGACCAACAGGACAAACAAUUGACAGCUGGGCAAAUGUGCCUAGCAUGUUCCUGCUGGCUCCGAGGCUUGUUAAAGGAAAGAGACUGUAAAAAAGAAAAAACACAUUACAUGUGGACUGCAAACAUAAAAGUGACUGAAGUAGGAAGAGAAAGAGAUAGAUUGGCAGCCUGGAGACAUAAUAAGCUAUUAAACCGUUUAAGGGAGGCCUACCAUGGCUUGCUGAGUUUGUUGUUCAAUUACUAUUACUGAUGAAGAAUGUCAAUAAUUAUGAUUUUCAGCCUGGCUUGACGUUUACAUUUGUAAAAGUUUGAAAGUCCGACUGUACUAAAAAUCAAUGGAACAACGGUUGUAUCUUCUCACAAAGAGGGUGGAUUAUGCCUCCUCCACAUACUAAGAACUUUCAAACUCCAGGCUCAUUAAUGGACUGUGUCAUACGUCAUCAUCACUGCUUCAUAUGUCAUCAUCACUAUCACCACCAUUUGCAUUCUUUAAAGGGGACUUUAUAUAUCCUUUGUAUUUUAGGAUGGCACCAGAGUCCAGAUCUCUAAAAUAGCAAGUGCUGAAUGGAUGUCAGCAGAACACACAUUAUAGACCGGGGUCGGCAACCUGCGGCACGCAUGCCAAAGGCGGCACUCGGGCUGAUUUUUAGUGGCACAUUGCUGCCAGCCGGGGUCCCGGCUGCCGGCCCUGCUCAGCC
ensembl:lncRNA